AGUAGAUAGCAAGUGCCAGAACUUAGAGAACUCAGUCUCCAAAUUGUAUGAGCCAGAUUCUUCUAUGCCUUCUUGAGAAUCCCAGUGGCCAAGACUGAAUCACAUUCUGAAGUCCUACUUCAAUGGAAGCUAGCAAGGUGACUAUUCAAUAUUUUUAGCUGCUCUGUUGGGAGAAAGAAAGAACUCAAAAGCAAUUUCCCAAAGAAGAUGGAACAUGAAAAGCAUUGAAAUAAUCUCAACAUCAUCUGUUGCUGUACUUUGUACUUUAGAUCCUAGUAGGGACUCAAGUUUUUUGUCUAUUUGGUCUUCCUUGUGGGAUAAGAAUUUGAGGAAGGAGAUAUCUCUGCCUCAGGAUUGCUACAUUGAGAAUCACUCACAAGAGACCUCAACCAACAUAAAUCUCUUUGCAAUGAGCUCUAAUCCAGAGAAUGGAACUCUAUAACAAGGUCAGAAGGUUGAUUCAACUGCCUUGAAAUCAAUGACCCUGUAUAUUUUCCCAGGGAAUGUUAAAUUUUGUACUCGGGGCGGUGGGGGGUGGGGGGGGGACACUGUUUAAAAUUACUUUCCUCUAAAUGUAGGAGGCAAUUUAGCUGACCUUAGGCUUUUAAAACUUAUUCUAAUAUACUAUUCAUCUUUCAAGCAUAUUCCUCAAAAAUUUUACCUAUUACACUUAACUUUUUAAAAAACUAGCAAACUGAAUUUAUUCAUGUUUU